GACGGAUGGGGCUAGCGUUGUUCGGAAUUACUGGGCGUAAAGGGCGCGUAGGCGGCCAUUUAAGUUAGACGUGAAAGCCCUGGGCUUAACCUAGGAACUGCGUUUAAUACUGGAUGGCUAGAGUAUGGUAGAGGAAAGCGGAAUUCCUAGUGUAGAGGUGAAAUUCGUAGAUAUUAGGAAGAACACCAGAGGCGAAGGCGGCUUUCUGGACCAUUACUGACGCUGAGGCGCGAAAGCGUGGGGAGCAAACAGG
rnacentral:rRNA from 1 species